AUAUCUAUCACUUCUGUGCAUGUCUCACCUAUAUAUAGCUAGUUUCGAGUGAUUUAAACGACUCAGAGAAAAUACUCAAUUUUACAAUCCAUACUAAGACAGAUUGCUGGUAUUUUCUCUGACUCGAAACAAGGUGAGACAUGUACAAAAGUGAUAGAUAUGUAUAAUUAAUAUAGAAAACUGAAUAUCUUAAUCAACGGAAAAAAAAGACAAAAACAUAUUUGUAUUCUUUGAUAUCAAGUUCAAUUAUCCAUGCAGAAACGAAAAAUAUUUCUGUGUCCAGUAUAGCAUCGUAGAUAGAUAUCGGAAGAUGUGGUAUUAGUGCCAAUGAGACAACUCUCCAUCCAAAUAACAAUUUAUAAAAGUAACCAUUAUAAGUCAAUGUACGGCCUUCAACACGGAGCCUUGGCUAACACCGAACAAAAAGCGAGGCUAUAAAGGGCCCCAUAAUUACUAGUGUAAAACCAUGCAAACGAGUAAACCAACGGUCUAAUCUAUAUAAAAAACGAGAGCAUAUUCUUAAAAUAUUUUCCCGCAC
rnacentral:lncRNA from 1 species